CUCAUCUUGAGUAAAUAAGGUUUUUCAAGGGGCUACCAAGAGGUGAAAGAGCCACUGAGAUAAAAUCUGACUGGUGUCAGUCUCAGUAAGUUCAACUGCUUGCCACAGAGAGGACAUACUCAUUCUUCCUCUGCUAGAGUAAACUCUGCUAUGUAAACAUCCAACUAAGUAUAUCAGGCAGCCAGAAGUAAGGCCAAGAAAUUGUGAAAUACCCAGGGUGGAAGGGCCUCUUCACCCUGGAAGCAGUGUGAUUUCACACUAAAAUGACUCCCACA
rnacentral:lncRNA from 1 species